CAGUGGAAUAAAAAUCAGAUCUAGAUUAAAUAAUUUAAUCUAUCUAACAUACAUGAUGUAGAUCUAAUCUACAUACAACAGGAUUGAUCACAUACUUUUAAGAUAUUAAAAUAAAAUCAGAUUUAAAUCAAAAAUAAAAAUCUGACAUCAGAUCUCGAUACUUUUGCAUGGAUAGCCUUUCACCGUAAUCUGAUAAUCAUGAAAUCUGAUGAGUUCUUUGUUAAGCCACACACGUAUUCGAUCUCUACAGACAUCCAUACAAAAUUUUUGAUCUGAUCAAAGGUCUGUGUCUUCAUCAAGAUGCUAGCUCUCUUGCAGAAGUCAUAUCUUUGAUGGUUGAUUCAAAUCCUUCUCUGGAUCUCUCAGACUCUCUAUAGAAGAGAAGAAAUAUCGAAGGAAUAAUAUGUGGAGAAGGAAGAAAGGAACCUAUGAGAAAAUCCUUUUUUCUCUUUUUCUCUCUUCCUAAAAAUCCCACACCAAUAUAGUAGGAGGAAAUCCUAGAGAAAUCAGCCCAUAAGAGGAGACCCUCUCCUCUUUUCUCAUGCACUAAGAAGGCCCGUCGCCCCUCUCUUAAUUUUUUCACGGACACCCUAUUGGUUUUUCAUGAUAAAACCUGAUCUCUCUUUCUUAUUACACAUCCCACACCCCUCUUUAAAUAGGCACCCAAGUAGUUACAAUAUGACUAGGUUUGAAAGUUUAAAACCUAACCAAAUUAGGACAUUCGUUUUCAUUCAAACUUAAACUAAUUUAUAUUCAAAUUAAACCUGAUCUAAAAGGGGAUAAGUAGGGACACAUGGAGGGUGUUGGGAUGGACACUCCUCACAAAAAUCUGAUUUCAUGUGAAGAAAUAAAGGGGCAUCUCAAGUUUGCAUGGAAUAGGGUGGCGGUUAGGAAGGAAAGGGUGUCUUGGUUUAGCCUCUAAUCGAUUCUUGGAUCAAUCCUAAUUAACUUAGAAAUUAGUUAUAACAAAUUAACUAAUUAGGUCCUAGCCCAAUUAAAAAUCUAAUUAGGCCCUAAUCUAAUUAGAAAAUUAGUUAGAUUAAACCCCAUCAAACUCGUGAUAGAUUUCGUGGAUAUAAGGUUAUAUCAUAAUCAAUAGAGCUUGAUCCAAUCAAAUCCAAAUUAAAUUAAAUUGAUCCUAAUUCAAUUAAAUUUAAUUCUAACCCCAUAGCUCAAUUAAAUUGAGUUCUAUUAUAAUCCAAUUGUAAAUUAAUCCUCCUACAACUCACUAACUCUUAGUGAAUUAUUUUAUUGCAACACUUGUACUUGAUUAAUCAUCAAUCACAUUGAUGAUUAGAUCCAAUAGCAAUUUAUAAUCGCUAAUCAACCAUCUGAUCGGAUAAAGACUUCUUUUAUGUGUAACUCCAUAGAUUUUAUUUUGUCUGAUAGUGAGAUAUAUUGUGAUCUCUAUCAAAAAAUCAUCGAAACUCCUUUUGAUGGGUUGAAACAAUUUUAACUCUAUCUAUUAAGGAUCAUCGAUCAUCAAGAUGAUGCUUAAUGAGUCUCACAAUCCACUAGUGACAUCUAGCAGUAUGUAGUGCAAUCCAGUAGAAUAAAAUAUUGAACCUCUAGGUGCAGUUAUCGUGUAGUUCGGUUCUUCUAUCAUGAGUUUCGAUAAGAAGUAGGUUGAGGAUAACUCGUCAAAUCUGUUUGUCCGUCAUAUGUCAGAUUCUAUCGACUCGAAUCUGUAUGAAAUCUUAUAGAAACUCUUUUCCAUCAUUCACCUAUCAUGACCAUAGAUUUUAAGACUCAGUCUUAUGAACUGUAUAGGAUCUCUCUUUGUCUACCAGGGUUGACAGAUUCCAUCUUGGUAUGCAUUCUAUUUCUACAAUAGACCUACUAUAGCCAACACACGCCAUAAGAUUCUGAAUGAUUAGGUAAUCAAAUAAUUGUACAAUCAAACUACAGCAAUCCUACUGUGAACAGCCGAGGCAUCGCAAGUCAAAGAACUAUUUAUACUACCGCAACUUUGAGUAAGUCACCGAUGAGUGAGUAGCCAUCCUAGUGGCUUCUUGUGUUGGUCACGCUUAAUACUCUUGAUCCCUAUCAAGUAUCUGUACUCUCACUCUAGUGUCGCCACACUGUUGACUCAAGACUUGUCUACUCAAGAAGGAAAGCGAUCUUUGCACUGAUCUAUCUAGAUCAAUCACUAUUUCUGUGAUGAUCCGUCGAUCGAAAGUAUUUAGAAAUUAACCACUAAUGACACGUGUCUCAAAUUUUCAACUCUUGAGAAUACGUAUCAUCAUCCGUCAAUUUUUUGGAUAAUUCAUAGACAUAAUUCAAACACAACAUGAAUGAAAAAUAAUCUAAAUUUUAUUUAUUUUAAAAUUUAAUUACAAAAUUAUGCCUCUAGAAUGUGUAUAUGUGUCAGCCAAUCUGGCUUCUAGGGUAUACAUCUAACAUUAGCCUCUCUAAUUGCUGUAAAUACCCAC
rnacentral:lncRNA from 1 species